CCUGAGAAACGGCUACCACAUCCAAGGAAGGCAGCAGGCGCGCAAAUUACCCACUCCCGGCACGGGGAGGUAGUGACGAUAAAUAACGAUCCGGAACUCUAAUGAGUUUCCGUAAUCGGAAUGAGCACAAUUUAAAUCCUUUAACGAGGAGCAAAUGGAGGGCAAGUCUGGUGCCAGCAGCCGCGGUAAUUCCAGCUCCAUUAGCAUAUAUUAAAGUUGUUGCGGUUAAAAAGCUCGUAGUUGAAUCUGUAUCUCAUACUGUCAGCUCGCUCGUAAUUUAAUUUAUGCAGUUUGAUUUGACAUUUUGUAUGAGAUAUAAAUAUCGGUGGAUUUUUCAAGGUUUUUUUCGUAUAGUGGCGUUUCUUUUCGAUUCGUUUUUUUGCGUUUCGAAAAAAGUGCUUCUAGAAAUUAAUCCUUAAAAUCCGAUAUGGUAGUUUUAAAAAAAAAUCGAAAAAAUUUUCACAGUUUAUUUAGUCGAUUUUUAGAAAUGAGGAUUAAUUGAAAAUUUUUUUUGAUUAAUCAUUUCGUUUUUAAAGUGAUUAAAUAAAUGAAUUUUUUUUCUUUUUUAAAACUAAUUAUAUUCUAAUGAAAAAUUAAUUUUUUUUAAAAAUUAGACCGAUAAAAUUACUUUGAACAAAUUAGAGUGCUUAAAGCAGGCAAAUUUAUAUGCCUUGAAUAUGAUCAGCAUGGAAUAAUAGAAUAUGAUCUCGAUACUGUUUCCGAUUUCGAAAAGGGGAAUCUUUUUUGAAAAUUAUUGGCUUAAAGAAGUAAAUAAUACAUUUGAGAUUUUUUCGUAAAAAUCUAAAAGGUUUUUUCGGAAAUCAUCGCAUUUCCGAAAGAAAUGAUUUUAGUUAUCGACAAUUUUGAGAAUGAAUUUUUUCGAAAUUGUUGUCGAAAAUCGUCUUUUGGAUUGAAUAAAUUUCAGAGUAUUUAUUUCGACAGUAUAUCGAGAUAAUGAUCAAUAGAGACGGAUGGGGGCAUUCGUACUACGACGCUAGAGGUGAAAUUCUUGGACCGUCGUAAGACGAACUGAAGCGAAAGCGUUUGUCAAAAACGUUUUCAUUGAUCAAGAACGAAAGUUAGAGGUUCGAAGGCGAUCAGAUACCGCCCUAGUUCUAACCAUAAACGAUGCCGACCAGCGAUCCGUCGAUGUUCAUUUAAAUUGACUCGACGGGCAGCUUCCGGGAAACCAAAGUUUUUGGGUUCCGGGGGAAGUAUGGUUGCAAAGCUGAAACUUAAAGGAAUUGACGGAAGGGCACCACCAGGAGUGGAGCUUGCGGCUUAAUUUGACUCAACACGGGAAAUCUCACCAGGCCCGGACACCGAAAGGAUUGACAGAUUAAUAGCUCUUUCUUGAUUCGGUGGGUGGUGGUGCAUGGCCGUUCUUAGUUGGUGGAGCGAUUUGUCUGGUUAAUUCCGAUAACGAACGAGACUC
rnacentral:rRNA from 1 species